UACGUAGGGACCGAGCGUUGUCCGGAUUCAUUGGGCGUAAAGAGCUCGUAGGCGGCUGUUCAAGUCGAACGUGAAAACUCGGAGCUCAACUCCGAGCCUGCGUUCGAUACUGGACGGCUAGAGUCUGGUAGGGGGAUCGUGGAAUUCCUGGGUGUAGCGGUGGAAUGCGCAGAGUAUCAGGAGGAACACCGGUGGCGAAGGCGGGAUCCUGGGCCAGUACUGACGCUGAGGAGCGAAAGCGUGGGGAGCAAACAGGG
rnacentral:rRNA from 1 species